rnacentral:rRNA from 1 species
CAGUCGCCGCGGGAAUACGAAGGGGGCUAGCGUUGUUCGGAUUUACUGGGCGUAAAGCGCACGUAGGCGGAUCGAUCAGUCAGGUGUGAAAUCCCAGAGCUCAACUCUGGAACUGCCUUUGAUACUGUCGAUCUGGAGUAUGGAAGAGGUGAGUGGAAUUCCGAGUGUAGAGGUGAAAUUCGUAGAUAUUCGGAGGAACACCAGUGGCGAAGGCGGCCCACUGGUCCAUUACUGACGCUGAGGUGCGAAAGCGUGGGGAGCAAACAGGAUUAGAUACCCGAGUAGUCCCUGUCUCUUAUAC